AUGAUUGGCCAUGAUGAUACGAAGCUCCCUCUUCUGAAAAUAAUUGAGGACAGUCGCUGGCAGAAUCGAACCUAAUUCUCUAAUCGCCAACACUGAGCCA
rnacentral:snoRNA from 1 species